GAGUGGGACAAGGACAAGGGAGAUGAGUGGGGCAAGGACAAGGGAGAGGAGUGGGGCAAGGACAAGGGAGAGGAGUGGGGCAAGGACAAGGGAGAGGAGUGGGGCAAGGACAAGGGAGAUGAGUGGGGCAAGGACAAGGGAGAGGAGUGGGGCAAGGACAAGGGAGAGGAGUGGGGCAAGGACAAGGGAGAGGAGUGGGGCAAGGACAAGGGAGAGGAGUGGGGCAAGGACAAGGGAGAGGAGUGGGGCAAGGACAAGGGAGAGGAGUGGGGCAAGGUAGAGGAUGAGAACAUGUGGCCAAAUGCAGAAGACCGGGCAGAUUAGAAGAUUACUUUGUUUUUGUUAUUAUUAUUCCAGUGCUUUUUCUGUUUGUAUAUCUUGCAGCAAUG
ensembl:lncRNA